GGCUACAAGCUGUGCAUACUCCAGCAAUCCCAUCCGGUGUGCAUGUCAAACAAGAAAAAAUAGCCUGUCUCUUCAUAUAACCUUUACUAUAGGUGCACUCCUUGCCUUCAUCACCACCUAAGACCAGACCUGCUUCCAGCUCCUGCUCUUCGAGAUCUUGGAGAAACUCUCCAAUUGAAACAGUAUUCUCACCAUCCUCUUCGAAUGCAUCAGCCAUUUUCAACCCAGAAAUGAGCUAUCAAACCAAAUUAAAC
rnacentral:misc_RNA from 1 species